AACGAACGCUGGCGGCAUGCCUAACACAUGCAAGUCGAACGAGACCUUCCGGCUUAGUGGCGCCCCGGUGCGUAACGCGUUGGAACCUGCCCUUAGGUUCUGAAUUACUCCUCGAAAUAGGUGCUAAUACCUGAUUAUGUCUUCGGACCAGAUUUAUCGCAUUUGGAUGGGGCCGCGUUGUAUUUGCUUGUUGGUAGGGUUAAAGCCUUCCCAGGCGAGGAUCCGGAGCUUGUCUGAGCGGAUGAUCAGCGACACUGGGACUGAGACAAGACCCAGACUGCUACGAGAGGUAGCAGAGGGGAAUAUAGGAGAGUGGGCGAAAGCCUGAUCCAGCAAGGGCGCGUUAGUGAUGAAGGGCUUAGGGUUGUAAAGCGCUAGUAACCGGGAUGAUAAUGACAGUACCGGGAGAAUAAGCACCGGCUAACUCCGUG
rnacentral:rRNA from 1 species